CCUGCAACUCCCGCUGCCACAAUGAAGCUACUCGCGGUGUUGGUGUUUCUGUUCACCGUCGGCACCGUUUGCCGGGCGGAGCAGCAAAAGUUCGAAAACUACAAGCUCUACUCACUGUACGUCGAGGAUGACGAACAGGCGGAAGAGCUGCACAACUGGUACGCCGACGGGAAGCUCGACUUCUGGAGCUACGGCACACUGAACGACAGCGUCACCGUGAUGGUGCAGCCUGAUCUGCAGGAAUACUUCGAGGCCAUGCUGGACGAUGUGCAGCUCGAAUCGGAGCUGGUAGAGGAGAACGUACAGUCACUGCUCGAGCACGAGCAGGAAAAGCGCAACCUGCACAUCCUGAGCAAGCGUCGCCGGCCCCAGAAGGUCCCACAGAAGCCAAACAGCACGCAGGGUGAGCUCGAUGAGGAUGCGAUCGAUUUCGAGCACUUCUGGACGCUGGAUGAGAUCUAUCGCUAUAUGGAUCGGAUGGAGCGCCAGUACCCGAAUCUGGUGCGCGUGCUGAAGAUUGGGCAGACGUACGAGAACCGUUCGAUACUGGCGCUUACGGUCUCAAGGGAUGGGAGCAUCAAUCAGACGCGCCCGGUCGUGCUGGUCGAUGCGGGUGUGCAUGCGCGCGAGUGGGCCUCGCACAUGUCGGCGCUGUAUCUGAUCAACCAGCUGGUGGAGAGUGCGGACAAGAAUGAGGAUCUGCUGUACAAUACGGAUUGGAUCAUUGUGCCGGUGGCUAACCCGGAUGGAUAUGUGUACUCGUACGAGACGAACCGUCUGUGGCGCAAGAACCGCUUUGCUGGCAAUGUGAUGUGCGUUGGUACGGAUGUGAACCGUAAUUUCCCGUUCCGCUGGGGCUACAAUUCGCAUUCCUGCACGGAUGGAUACGCUGGCCGUACGCCCGGCUCGGAGAAGGAAACCCAAGCGCUCAUGCUGCUGAUGUCCCAGUUCUCGCGCAGCAUCAAGAUGUACCUAUCGCUGCACAGCUGCGGCGAAUACAUCCUCUACCCGUACGGUUUCACCUUCCAGUUCGUUCCGAACGAGGCCGAACUUCACGCUCUCGGCACGGAGGCGGCCGAAGCGGUCAAGAACAUUGGCGGUCCCGAGUACAUCGUUGGGCAGGCAUCGGGUCUGCUGUAUCUCGCCACCGGUAGUGACGAUUUCAUCUACGGUGCGUACGGUGUCCAGUACGCGUACACGCUGGAGCUGUCGUGCGGAAACCGUGGCUAUGGCUUCAUCAUUGAGCCGGACCAGAUUGAGCCGAUUGCGGCGGAAACGUUCGAGAUGAUGAAGGUGUUUGGCAUGCACGCCGGCAGCCUGAAGAUUAGCAAGCGUCCGUAGAACCAAGCAAGAGAGAGACACGCAUAAGAGACAUCAGUGGGUGGAAGUCCACGAACCGCUCGCCGCUCUUUAAAAACACAUUCCGCACACGUAAUCGCUAUCGAAUUUGAAUAUCGCAAUAAAUAAACUGAGAGAUGCUCGUAUAUAGGCGAUGCUCGUGCAAAAAAAAAACACAAAAACUGAACCACAAAACCCCUCCCCGAACUCGAACUCGAAUCAAGAAGCAAUAACAAUGCGUCCGAUAAGGUUGAAUCUAGAUAAAUGAGUCUCUCCCCACCCGUUCGGCCGACACCCUCCGAACGCAUCGGGUCGUCCGCAUAUUGAUCCUACGGCUUGACCAGCGAGAAUGAGCACCGCCCGGUGUUUGGCGAGCGAUUGAGCGAGCUCCAGUUGUGAUAUAUUUAUUUCACUUAUGUUCUACCCGCGACGGCACGCGGUGACGCUGGAGCGGCGAACGCGUAAGAUAAUGAUUGUGCGAGAGAUAAGCCAAUGUCCAAUGAGGGCCGAACCGAACGGGCACCGAUUCCCGAGCACCAGAUCCAGUUGUCGUUUGGCAGUGGAUGAGCGAAGCAAUGAAGCGGCUAACAUUCGUGACCGGCUGUUUGCUGGCCUUGGCAUUCGCCAAAGCCGGUUCUUAUCAUGAAUUCGAGCUGUACAACGUGCGCCCGGAAACGGCGGAACAGCUGACGGUGCUGCUCAAGUGGCGCAAUGGGCAGGAGAUUGAGGUGGACUUCUGGGAUGCACCGAAGGUGGGCCGUAG